ensembl:lncRNA
CUUAAAGUGAGUAUAAAUAGCAACUGUUGUAGCCAGAAACCUUUAGAGUCUUCCCCUCUCAGUUUGAUUUUUUUUUUUUUUGAGUAGGCAAACCAGGUCAUUUUUUGCCUCAUUUCUUAGAUAAUCUGAAAUCACUGGAUUGGUAUUGCCUCUUAAAAACAGACCUGGGAAUGACUUUAGCAAAAAGCAUAAAAAGGCCAGGGUCUUCCACUGCAUUUGGGGUCAUUUUCUGUUGCCCUGAUCUAUAUUUUGCCACUGGACUCAGAUAAUCUUGGAGAAGAGAGUGAGAUUGUUGACCUUGAACAGUUCUACGCCAUUUAAAUUCAGAGUUAAGAAAACAGUUCCUGUCUCGGAAACUUUCUAACUAUGUAACCCUAGAGAUACAUUUCCUAAGCCCUGGAAUAUCAUAGGAUCCUAGAAGGACAGAUGAAACAUCCGAGAUCAUCUGGUUCAAUUUCCUUAUUUUAUAUUAGAGAAAACUGAGAUCCUUGGAGUAUGGUACAAGGAAAAAUACAAUGGAGAGUGGAGAGCAUACAUCUAGAAGACAGGAUACUGUCAUUUUUCUGCAGACACCACAGCACUCAGACUGUAAGGAGACAUGAUCCUGAUUCUUCUGGGAAUCCACUCCCUGUUGCUGCUAUUGUUCCACCAGGGACUAGCAGGAGAUCCCCCCUUUGUGGCUAAGCGGCAACUAGCUGAGCAGCCUGGACAGCCUGUCAACAAUAGAAUGUCAAUGUCUGACAAUUGGUCCUACAAAAAAAGGAGAUUCUUAGAAAAGUAUGUUGAUGAAGUAGAGAUCCCUCUGCCUCCAGAUGUGUACUGUAAUAUCUUGGUUAGGAACAGAAACAUCAUGGUUUCUUCGAGCCCAUGCAAGAAAGAACACUAUUUCAUUCAUGACUCCUGGAAUAAUAUACUAAAGUUGUGUGAAAAUAACAACAUCCCAUGCAAGAAUUCCACAAAUAGUUGUCAUCAGAGCACAAAAACUAUGGCUAUGACAACUUGUCGGCUACUCAAUGGUGAUCAGUUCCCUUAUUGUGAAUACAUAUCCAUUAAAAAAAAGAAAAAGGUAGUCCUUUCCUGCAAACAGCUGAAAGGUUAUCCUUCUCUUUUCCCUGAUUCUGUGGAAAAAAUUGUUGAGUAAGCCAAAGGGAUGAACUGUCCAGUUCAGUAGGCUGAAAGCACUGGGUUCUACUUUUGCCUCAUCCAACUUCAUAGGCUAUCUUCAGAAGUAAGAAGGAUGGAUAGAGUAUCAAAGGCAUGAAUUCUAUCCAUGGUGUUGUUUUGUGAAGAAAACUGAAAUUACAAGUUCCACUGCAUCUAUUUCCAUCAUUCUGUAAGUAGCAGGAGCUAGUCUUAGGUUGGAAAAAACUCUCUAACCUGGUUGCUGAUUGGAGAGAGUAUUUGAUUGUGGGUGGACAUAGUAGGUGACAGUGAGAGGAAGGAGGGACUUUCUUAAUUUGCAUGUCAGUGCUUUGCUGAUCUGAGUCAUUUAUAUAAAAACAAUAAAGUGCAUUGUUCUAGAUAAAUUUUUUUGUGUAUCUUUUUUUAAAAUAAAAAUUCUCAUUUCCAAAACCCCUACCAUAU